CCUACGGGCGGCAGCAGUGAGGAAUAUUGGUCAAUGGGCGCGAGCCUGAACCAGCCAAGUCGCGUGAAGGAAGACUGCCCUACGGGUUGUAAACUUCUUUUAUAAAGGAAUAAAGUGAGGCGCGUGUGCCUUUUUGUAUGUCCUUUAUGAAUAAGGAUCGGCUAACUCCGUGCCAGCAGCCGCGGUAAUAAGGAGGAUCCGAGCGUUAUACGGAUUUAUUGGGUUUAAAGGGAGCGUAGAUGGGUUGUUAAGUCAGUUGUGAAAGUUUGCGGCUCAACCGUAAAAUUGCAAUUGAUACUGGCAGUCUUGAGUACAGUAGAGGUAGGCGGAAUUCGUGGUGUAGCGGUGAAAUGCUUAGAUAUCACGAAGAACUCCGAUUGCGAAGGCAGCUUACUGGACUGCAACUGACACUGAGGCUCGAAAGUGUGGGUAUCAAACAGGAUUAGAUACCCUGGUAGUC
rnacentral:rRNA from 1 species